rnacentral:rRNA from 1 species
UAACUUGAGAGUUUGAUCCUGGCUCAGGACGAACGCUGGCGGCAUGCCUAACACAUGCAAGUCGAACGAGAAAGUUCCUUCGGGAGCAAUUAAAGUGGCGCACGGGUGAGUAACGCGUAGACAAUCUGCCCUUCAGUCUGGGACAACUUUUCGAAAGGAGAGCUAAUACCGGAUAACAAUGCAUGACACAAGUUGUAUAUUUGAAAGCUUUAUGUGCUGAAGGAGGGGUCUGCGUCCCAUUAGCUAGUUGGUGAGGUAAAGGCUUACCAAGGCAACGAUGGGUAGCGGGUUUGAGAGGACGAUCCGUCACACUGGAACUGAGACACGGUCCAGACUCCUACGGGAGGCAGCAGUGGGGAAUAUUGCACAAUGGAGGAAACUCUGAUGCAGCAAUGUCGCGUGAGUGAAGAAGGCCCUUGGGUCGUAAAGCUCUUUUAUGGGGGAAGAUGAUGACGGUACCCCAGGAAUAAGCACCGGCUAACUACGUGCCAGCAGCCGCGGUAAUACGUAGGGUGCGAGCGUUGUUCGGAAUUACUGGGCGUAAAGGGCGCGCAGGCGGGAUAGCAAGUCGGAGGUGAAAGCCCGGGGCUCAACCCCGGAGGGUCUUUCGAAACUGCUAAUCUAGAGAGGGUCAGGGGCCAGCAGAAUUCCUGGUGUAGAGGUGAAAUUCGUAGAUAUCAGGAGGAAUACCGGUGGCGAAAGCGGCUGGCUGGGGCCACUCUGACGCUGAGGCGCGAAAGCGUGGGGAGCAAACGGGAUUAGAUACCCCGGUAGUCCACGCCGUAAACGAUGAGCACUGGACGUCCGGAGGGUUCGACCCUUCUGGGUGUUUCAGCUAACGCAUUAAGUGCUCCGCCUGGGGAGUACGGUCGCAAGACUAAAACUCAAAGGAAUUGAC